UGGGGAAUAUUGCACAAUGGGCGCAAGCCUAAUGCAGCAACGCCGCGUGAACGAUGAAGGUCUUCGGAUCGUAAAGUUCUGUUGCAGGGGAAGAUAAUGACGGUACCCUGUGAGUAAGCCCCGGCUAACUACGUGCCAGCAGCCGCGGUAAUACGUCGGGGGCUAGCGUUGUCCGGAUUUACUGGGCGUAAAGGGUGCGUAGGUGGUAUUUCAAGUCGGUGGUUAAAGGCUACGGCUCAACCGUAGUUAGCCUCCGAAACUGUUUAACUUGAGUGCAGGAGAGAAAAGUGGAAUUCCUAGUGUAGCGGUGAAAUGCGUAGAGAUUAGGAGGAAAACCGGUGGCGAAAGCGGCUUUUUGGCCUGCAACUGACACUGAGGCGCGAAAGCGUGGGGAGCAAACAGG
rnacentral:rRNA from 1 species